UAAGAGAGAUGUCAAAAUUUUGAUAAGUUAACACAACAACAACAAUAUUAAACGUUAAAUCUCAACAUCCGACUAGUGAUAAUAAGAAAUGUGGGAGGAAGAGGAACUCUGAAAGCGUGUUGUAAGAAAGAAACCAAGCAGCAGGAAGACACGCCACUGGGAUAACCAGAGCAAGAAUCAUGGCAAGAAUCUUGAUGCAAUCAAAACGACAUUUCCCUUUACCUCGUUUCCAGACAAUUGCAAAGAAAAGGGGAUGUAUGAAGUUUUUAAGGAGUUUGAAGAGAUUGAUGAAGUAAUUAUCCCAUCUAAGAGAGAUAUUCAGGGAAAGCACUAUGAAUUUGUCAUAUUCUUGAACGCCGAGAACAAAAGGCUUCUAGCAACUAAACUGGAUAAUGUGUUCAUAGGGAGUCAUAAGUUGUUCGCAAACUUACCAAGAUUCCAAAUAACCAGAUGGGUGGAGCUUUUAGAAAUCAGAGGAGAAAUUUCAAAGGUAAUAUCGGGGAAAUAAAUCAGUCAGGUAAAUUCAAACCUUCAAAGCUAGCAUGUGGCGUUAGUUUUGGCAAGAGCAUUAAUGGUAGAUCGUACGCACACGUCCUUAAGAAUGCUAAUGACCAGUCUAGUUAGUUUCAUAAUAGAGACUUUGGGCCUUCCCAUCAAGAGAGAGAGAUAUCAGUUUUCCUCCUUUGAAGUUUAAUUUUGAAGAUAAAACAUGGUUGCAUAGAUUUAACAACUCCUAUAUGGGGAUUGUAGAGAGCCUUGAUUUGAUCUACAACAUUAAAAAAAUCUUCAAUUCAGAAGGAUACUUUGUAACCAAAGUAAUUUCUUUGGGAGCUAACAUUUGCUUAAUUAAAAAAAGAUAAGAGGGGGGUAAUUAUCGUCCUUGGUAUAAAAUGGAGGAGAAUGGUUGAAUCAAUGGUUCAAAGAGGUUAGAAAAUGGAGUCCAAAGGAUAUUGACCUGGAGAGAGCUACUUGGUUGAGAAUCUCUGGUGUUCCGUGUCAUGCUUGAAACCCAUAUUUUUUCGAAUUUGUUACCAAUCUAAUGGCAACUUACAUUUGUUCUAAUGAUAUUACAAGGGAUUAAUCCAGUAUGAAUGUUGCAAGAGUUCUGAUUAGAACUAAAUGCGCUUUGAUGCAGAUAGAUGGAGUUUUGUUCAUAGUCAAGGUUGUGGAAGAUACUCAUAAUCCUUUGAGAAUUUUAUUUUCUCUCGAAUCAGGAUUGCCUUCAGAAUCUUCAAAAUCAAAGUUUAGUUCAGAUGAAUGGUUAGGAGAGGAGGAAUAAGAUAACUUAGAGGUUGAUAUUGAGGGUAAUGAUGCAUAUUCAGAAAAUAGAGAGGGUGUGUUAGACUUGGGAAAUGUUGAAAAGAUUAAAGGUGCCUUGGUCGUCUUUUCAGAAGCAACAACUGAGAAAGGUGUCAGUGAGAAUUUAUAAAAUGGGACGAAGUCAACGCUAGAAAAGACAAGUGAGAAAAGUGUGAAGCAAUCUUUGGGAAAGAAGCGGUUAUCAAACCAUGGAACAAGGAAACCAUUAAACAUGGAAGAUACUAAGAAUAAAAAGCAUGUAAAAUCCAUCCAAAUGAUUUCAGAUCAAAAGCUAUCGGGAGGAGGUAUUUGGAAACAGGCCAAGGACCAUUCUAAGUUAACAGGCCUUCAAGAAAUGUCUGUUAAACUAACAUCAAGGCCCAUUCAUUUGCUAGCCCACUUAGUUGGCCAUAUUCUAAGUGGAAAGAGUAAGGAUAUUCAAAAUAUAAUCUCGUUAGUGGACCAGGGAUUUGUUUAAACCAUCUUAUUUUUCAUCCCUUAGACCCCCAAACUCGUGACAUAAAAACUUCUCCACAACACUCAAUCUCAACUUGAUCAAACUCAAGUUCACCUAGACUUUUGAGGGGAGGGUAUUAUCUUUGUUACGAUUCUAAAUCAGAUGUAGAUGUCUUACAGGGCAACAAAAGGUUAUGGGCGAAAAAGAAUGUUGAGGUUUCUUCAAAAUUUAGGGAAAAUGCAUCGGAUUUUGGGGUUAAAGGAUUUGAAGAUGAUGUGGUUCAUAUGGAGGCUAUUAUGUGUUCAGAAGCUAGGGAUGAUGGCAGCCAAAAUCAUAGGGAAGAAAUCAACGGAGGUUCCCCAUGAGUAUCCUCUCUUAUAGUAUUCGAGGAUGGAAUAACACCAUUAAAAGGUGAAGCUUGGGUCAAUUAAUUUCUAAGGGAGGGUUCUAUAUUUGCAUGCUCUGAGAAACCAAACUUCAAAGAGUAGAAGAGGUUAGUAUUUUUUUCCUUAUGGGGAUCCAAAGAAGUUGAGUGGAGAUUAAAGAGGGUGCAUGAGAAAUCUGAGGGCAUGCUAAUAAUCUAGAAAUCAGGUAUGAAGCUGAUGAACAUAAAGUUGACAACCUUCUUAAUGUUUUGAUGAUGACAACACUGAUGAGUGUUGAAGUCAGUGGUGAUAUAUUUCAAACUCUUUGAUGAUGGUGAUUAACUUGAAGAUGUAUCAAGCCUUAUUAAGUAUAAUAUCAAGGUAUAUGUGAAGUGCUUAUAUAAUCAGUGUAUCUGGUAAAAAGAACUUGAAAGCCUCAAAGUUAUGAAAGAAAGGAAGUGUGAAAGCUCGUCCGGUCGUAUCUAUCUGUGUGACCAGAGUUUUAUAAAAGUAGGAGAGCAGCUCCUAAGAUACUAAGAAAACUCAUAGACACACACUUAAAAUAAUUUUAAGGCCUCUUUUUACUUUCAAAAUCACCUAAAAUAUUUUUAAGGCCUAACUAGUUAUUAGGGGAGUAUUUGUUUGAUUAUGAGACUUUUUUGUAAUUGUCUAAUCUAUUAGAUGAUGCGUGGUUAGAUGAGGACAAAGUAUUAAUGAAUAGUAAUGACUCUAUAUCAAAAUCUUCUAUUUUGGACCUCAACAAA